CAUCUGCAGAAAUAUUCAUAAACACUGAUAAGGGUUGGGAACAUGACCUUCAAGCCAGGUGCAGCUAAUUAAGUCAGUUCAAACUAAGUGGAACCAGUUAAGUUGGUAUAAACUUCAAAAAAGGUGCGUAACAAGCAAUGACAAGACUGAGAACAUGACUAUCACAACAGAUGUGAUUAAUGAAGUUGUUGUUGAAAAUCAGCACAUACCCUUUAUUGUUGCCCAAGAUUGCUGCCCUAGUGGGCUUUGACACAGACCUUGACUGUGGCGGUGCAGUGUACCUGUUGGCCACCAGCUGGGAUCUCUUCAUUGUUGCCUAUUUGGAGUUCCCAACAAAUGAAAGGAGAAGUUGGGAGUAAAGUAGCUGCUUUGGAAGACGAUGAUCAGGCAUUCGAACAACAUGGCCGGUCCAGCAAAGUUGAUGUUGGAAGAUCAUUGUUUCAACACUGGUUGGAAGCAGGAGCCCAUCUGAACUGCACCUCAGAUGCGCAAAAUGAGAACCUGAGAGAAACCAAAAUGGACAGAUUCACCAUCCCAAAGCAGGAGUGUAAUGGCUGAACCAUUUUCAUGCUCACAGAGGCUGUACCCAUUGAAAUUGGAGAUGCUAUGAGUGGUUAAAAGCUCAGCUUGCCUUCCAUGAAAGGAAAAAAUAAAGAACAGAGAUACGUGGUAAACUGAGCUAAAGAAAAUGUUGGGCUUUAUUCUCUUUCAAGAAGUCUUUCAUUCUGAGGAUGACUCAUCUGGUUAAAUAAAUAAAUAAAACAGCUUUUCCCCCUUCAUUUUUAUACUUAAUGAAGCGAACCAGAAAAAGUUCAGACUCUACAUUCAAUACCGGUCCAAUGCUGCCAUCUAAUGGAGUCACAAACCAUUCAAAAGCAGCCAUGCCAUAGAUAUGCCUUCAUUGGGCAAAUGAAGCAUCAUGAAGUUGUGAUCAAGCUUUUGAGUUCAACUGAUCUCUUCUCCAGUCUGAACAUCUUAAAAAAAAAAAAGGGAGGGAUUAUGUGGGCAUAAUGGAAAAUAUGUUUGUUGGUCUAUUAAAUGUCUUAAGCUACUGAUGCUUCUGGAUUUUUUCCCUUACUGGACCAGCAUACCUACAUAGAAUUGUCAUCUAUUUUGGAGAAUACCAAAUCACAGUGUAAUGUGUGAAAUUAAAAUAACCCAAGUAUAGAGGAUUCUGGGUAUCUGAAAAUAUGCUUUCUGCAAUGCAAAAACUCCAGGGUGUGGGAAAGCAACUAAGAGAACAGUUAGGUAAACAAAAAUGUCUUUGUAGUUUCUUGAAAGUCCUUAAAGUAUCUAGUUUAUGACGGUAUAACCAGACUGAAAGUGUUACAUCCAUAUUUAGCAAGAACUCCCUAACAACAUGACCCUUUACUCCAUAACAACUUGUCCUAGCAAUUUAUAGAUAAUCAGAAUGCUUUGAACUAAAAAAUGUUCUGUGUAUUGCGCAUGCUUGAAAUGUUAAGAGUUUCAUCUCCUGAAGUCUUUGUUCCUUGAAAACUAUAAAGGCCUGCGCCAUUUUGUAGAAAGGUGGAGUCAAUCGCAGUUUUUCUGCUUGGCUCUCCAG